rnacentral:rRNA from 1 species
GAUGAACGCUAGCUACAGGCUUAACACAUGCAAGUCGAGGGGCAGCAUGGUCUUAGCUUGCUAAGGCCGAUGGCGACCGGCGCACGGGUGAGUAACACGUAUCCAACCUGCCGUCUACUCUUGGACAGCCUUCUGAAAGGAAGAUUAAUACAAGAUGGCAUCAUGAGUCCACAUGUUCACAUGAUUAAAGGUAUUCCGGUAGACGAUGGGGAUGCGUUCCAUUAGAUAGUAGGCGGGGUAACGGCCCACCUAGUCUUCGAUGGAUAGGGGUUCUGAGAGGAAGGUCCCCCACAUUGGAACUGAGACACGGUCCAAACUCCUACGGGAGGCAGCAGUGAGGAAUAUUGGUCAAUGGGCGAGAGCCUGAACCAGCCAAGUAGCGUGAAGGAUGACUGCCCUAUGGGUUGUAAACUUCUUUUAUAAAGGAAUAAAGUCGGGUAUGGAUACCCGUUUGCAUGUACUUUAUGAAUAAGGAUCGGCUAACUCCGUGCCAGCAGCCGCGGUAAUACGGAGGAUCCGAGCGUUAUCCGGAUUUAUUGGGUUUAAAGGGAGCGUAGAUGGAUGUUUAAGUCAGUUGUGAAAGUUUGCGGCUCAACCGUAAAAUUGCAGUUGAUACUGGAUAUCUUGAGUGCAGUUGAGGCAGGCGGAAUUCGUGGUGUAGCGGUGAAAUGCUUAGAUAUCACGAAGAACUCCGAUUGCGAAGGCAGCCUGCUAAGCUGCAACUGACAUUGAGGCUCGAAAGUGUGGGUAUCAAACAGGAUUAGAUACCCUGGUAGUCCAUACGGUAAACGAUGAAUACUCGCUGUUUGCGAUAUACAGCAAGCGGCCAAGCGAAAGCGUUAAGUAUUCCACCUGGGGAGUACGCCGGCAACGGUGAAACUCAAAGGAAUUGACGGGGGCCCGCACAAGCGGAGGAACAUGUGGUUUAAUUCGAUGAUACGCGAGGAACCUUACCCGGGCUUAAAUUGCAGAUGAAUUACGGUGAAAGCCGUAAGCCGCAAGGCAUCUGUGAAGGUGCUGCAUGGUUGUCGUCAGCUCGUGCCGUGAGGUGUCGGCUUAAGUGCCAUAACGAGCGCAACCCUUGUUGUCAGUUACUAACAGGUUCCGCUGAGGACUCUGACAAGACUGCCAUCGUAAGAUGUGAGGAAGGUGGGGAUGACGUCAAAUCAGCACGGCCCUUACGUCCGGGGCUACACACGUGUUACAAUGGGGGGUACAGAGGGCCGCUACCACGCGAGUGGAUGCCAAUCCCAAAAACCUCUCUCAGUUCGGACUGGAGUCUGCAACCCGACUCCACGAAGCUGGAUUCGCUAGUAAUCGCGCAUCAGCCACGGCGCGGUGAAUACGUUCCCGGGCCU